GUCACGGUAGCUCAAGUGGUUAGAGCAACGGCGUAUUGAGCCGAAGGUCGUGGGUUCGAAUCCCGCUCGUGACA
rnacentral:ncRNA from 13 species